rnacentral:tRNA from 1 species
GUUAGGGUGGCAGAGUGGUAUUGCAUAAGGCCUAAGACCUUACUUACAGGGGUUCAAGUCCUCUCCUUAACU